AAGCGCCAAGAACCAGAACCAGAACAGCCACCCAGACCAGAGCCCCAUGAAUUAGGUCCCCUCAAUGGGGACACAGCUAUAACUGUCCAGCUCUGUGCAUCAGAGGAGGCUGAGCGGCACCAGAAGGAUAUAACCAGAAUUCUCCAGCAACAUGAGGAGGAAAAGAAGAAAUGGGCACAACAGGUGGAGAAGGAAAGGGAGCUAGAGCUUCGAGACAGACUGGAUGAGCAGCAAAGGGUCCUGGAAGGAAAGAAUGAAGAGGCCCUGCAAGGUAAGGGUAGAGAUGUUCCACUGGCCAAGGUGGUGGGGGGUGCUUCCUUCUGGCCCCACCUGCCCAGUUCACCUGGGCACUCCCACUGUUCCCUCCCUGUCUGUCUGAUCCACAAGCAAUUGACUCAAAUCUACAGGAUCCUUGGCCCUAGAGGG
rnacentral:lncRNA from 10 species